rnacentral:lncRNA from 1 species
UCCCUAGGUAAGUUUGAUCCUAGAAGUGAUGAGGGAGUAUUCUUGGGAUUUCUUCACAUAGCAAAGCAUAUAAAGUGUUCAAUCAAAAAACUUUGUGUGUAGAAAAAAGUUUGCAUGUUGUAUUUGAUGAAACUAAAAUUCUUUUUGAGGGACUGGAACAUGAAGAUGAAUCAAUUGGACUGGUCAAAGACUUGGGGUGAAGCAUUGGCUCAAGUCAAAGCGGCACCUACAGAAGGAACAGGUCUCUUCCUU